UACGGGGGGAGCAAGCGUUGUUCGGAUUUACUGGGCGUAAAGGGCGCGUAGGCGGCCACCGCAAGUCAGUUGUGAAAGCUCUGGGCUUAACCCAGAAAGGUCAACUGAUACUGCGGGGCUAGAGUGCAGAAGGGGCAACUGGAAUUCUCGGUGUAGCGGUGAAAUGCGCAGAUAUCAGGAGGAACACCGGUGGCGAAGGCGGGUCUCUGGGCCGAUACUGACGCUGAGGAGCGAAAGCGUGGGGAGCGAACAGG
rnacentral:rRNA from 1 species